GACCCAGUGAUCUAGUGGUUAGGACACCUGGCUGCAGUUCCGAAGAAGAGUAAUUUGCUGUGUGGGAGAUCCCUGUUCAAUUCAGGGCCGGGUCA